rnacentral:lncRNA from 1 species
UGCGUGCAUUUAACAUUGCCCCGAAUAAUUUUCCUGAUUCUUUCCAGUGGGAUCCACGUAUUUCUGGCUGCUAGCAAAGAUACACUUCGAGUCAAGUCGUUUAUAUUUUAUCCAAUGCACAUGCGUUACCACAUAAAUACUUGGAUUCUAGAGGACCACAUAAUGGGAGUAAGUGCGGCAAUUGGUGAGAAACGGCGGACGUAUUC